rnacentral:sRNA from 1 species
UAUAAAUUAAUUAUCAUUAUAAAACAAAAAACUAACAUAGUCUUAUUAUGUUAGUACAGACUGAAGACAAAGUAUAAAUUUUUUAUAAAAAAGCAGAAAAUCUUUGAAAGCAAAAAGGAUUUUCUGCUUUUUUGUAGAAUAUA